rnacentral:rRNA from 1 species
GACGAACGCUGGCGGCGUGCUUAACACAUGCAAGUCGAACGGAAAGGCCCUGCUUUUGUGGGGUUCUCGAGUGGCGAACGGGUGUGUAACACGUGAGUAACCUUCCCUUGACUUUGGGAUAACUUCAGGCAACUGGGGCUACUACCUGAUAGGAGCUCCUGCUGCAUGGUGGGGUUUGGAACGUUUCGGCGGUUGGGGAUGUACUCGCGGCUUAUCAGCUUGUUGGUGGAGUAGUGGCUUACCCAGGCUUUGACGGGUAGCCGGCCUGAGAGGGUGACCGGCGACAUGGGGACUGAGAUACGGCCCAGACGCCUACGGGAGGCAGCAGGGGGGAAUAUGGCACAAUGGGCGGAAGCGUGAUGCAGAAACGCCGCGUGCGGGAUGAAGGCCUUCGGGUGGUAAACCGCUUUAGCCUGUGACGAAGCGUGAGUGACGGUAAUGGGUAAAGAAGCACCGGCUAACUACGUG